UACGAAGGGGGCUAGCGUUGCUCGGAAUCACUGGGCGUAAAGGGCGCGUAGGCGGCGUUUUAAGUCGGGGGUGAAAGCCUGUGGCUCAACCACAGAAUGGCCUUCGAUACUGGGACGCUUGAGUAUGGUAGAGGUUGGUGGAACUGCGAGUGUAGGAGGUGAAAUUCGUAGAUAUUCGCAAGAACACCGGUGGCGAAGGCGGCCAACUGGACCAUUACUGACGCUGAGGCGCGAAAGCGUGGGG
rnacentral:rRNA from 1 species